UGGCGGCUAUAGCGCUGUGGUCCCACCCGAUCCCAUCCCGAACUCGGAAGUGAAACGCAGCUGCGCCGAUGGUAGUGUGGACUUCCAUGCAAGAGUAGGUCACCGCC
rnacentral:rRNA from 1 species